rnacentral:rRNA from 1 species
AAUCAACGCUGGCGGCGUGCCUAACACAUGCAAGUCGAACGAGAAAGUGGGGGCAAUCCAUGAGUAAAGUGGCGACCGGGUGAGUAACACGUGACUAACCUACCUUCGAGUGGGGGAUAACCUCGGGAAACCGGGGCUAAUACCGCAUAACAUCUUUGGAGUGGAAAUUUCGGAGAUCAAAGGAGCAAUUCGCUGGAAGAGGGGGGUCGCGGCUGAUUAGCUAGUUGGCGGGGUAACGGCCCACCAAGGCUUAGAUCGGUAGCCGGCCUGAGAGGGCGCACGGCCACACUGGAACUGAAACACGGUCCAGACUCCUACGGGAGGCAGCAGUGGGGAAUUUUGCGCAAUGGGGGAAACCCUGACGCAGCAACGCCGCGUGGAGGAUGAAGUCCCUUGGGACGUAAACUCCUUUCGACCCGGACGAUAAUGACGGUACGGGUGGAAGAAGCCCCGGCUAACUUCGUGCCAGCAGCCGCCGUAAC